UCCGUAGGCGGUGCGGCAAGUCGGUAGUGAAAUCUCAGGGCUUAACCCUGAGGCUGCUUCCGAAACUGCCGUGCUCGAGUGCGAGAGAGGCGAGUGGAAUUGCAGGUGUAGCGGUGAAAUGCGUAGAUAUCUGCAGGAACAUCCGAGGCGAAAGCGGCUCGCUGGAUCGCAACUGACGCUGAGGGACGAAAGCUAGGGGAGCAAACAGGAUUAGAUACCCUGGUAGUCCUAGCCCUAAACGAUCAGGACUGGGCGUGGGUUUCGUACGGGGCUCGUGCCGCAGCUAACGCGUUAAGUCCUGCGCCUGGGGAGUACGGUCGCAAGGCUGAA
rnacentral:rRNA from 1 species